GAUGAACGCUGGCGGCGUGCCUAAUACAUGCAAGUCGAGCGAACAGACGAGGAGCUUGCUCCUCUGACGUUGGCGGCGGACGGGUGAGUAACACGUGGAUAACCUACCUAUAAGACUGGGAUAACUUCGGGAAACCGGAGCUAAUACCGGAUAAUAUAUUGAACCGCAUGGUUCAAUAGUGAAAGACGGUUUUGCUGUCACUUAUAGAUGGAUCCGCGCCGCAUUAGCUAGUUGGUAAGGUAACGGCUUACCAAGGCAACGAUGCGUAGCCGACCUGAGAGGGUGAUCGGCCACACUGGAACUGAGACACGGUCCAGACUCCUACGGGAGGCAGCAGUAGGGAAUCUUCCGCAAUGGGCGAAAGCUUGACGGAGCAACGCCGCGUGAGUGAUGAAGGUCUUCGGAUCGUAAAACUCUGUUAUUAGGGAAGAACAAAUGUGUAAGUAACUAUGCACGUCUUGACGGUACCUAAUCAGAAAGCCACGGCGAACUACGU
rnacentral:rRNA from 1 species